UGGGUAACCUGCCUGUAAGAUUGGGAUAACUCCGGGAAACCGGAGCUAAUACCGGAUAACAUUUUGAACCGCAAGGUUCGAAAUUGAAAGGUGGCUUUUGCUACCACUUACAGAUGGACCCGCGGCGCAUUAGCUAGUUGGUGAGGUAAUGGCUCACCAAGGCAACGAUGCGUAGCCAACCUGAGAGGGUGAUCGGCCACACUGGGACUGAGACACGGCCCAGACUCCUACGGGAGGCAGCAGUAGGGAAUCUUCCGCAAUGGACGAAAGUCUGACGGAGCAACGCCGCGUGAGUGAUGAAGGCCUUCGGGUCGUAAAGCUCUGUUGUUAGGGAAGAACAAGUACCGUUCAAAUAGGGCGGUACCAUGACGGUACCUAACCAGAAAGCCACGGCUAACUACGUGCCAGCAGCCGCGGUAAUACGUAGGUGGCAAGCGUUGUCCGGAAUUAUUGGGCGUAAAGGGCUCGCAGGCGGUUCCUUAAGUCUGAUGUGAAAGCCCACGGCUCAACCGUGGAGGGUCAUUG
rnacentral:rRNA from 1 species